rnacentral:rRNA from 1 species
UAUAAAACCCUUAAAUUAGUAUAACUCAUUCUAAACCCUCAAACAAUACUGAGCUGUUCUAUUAACUAUAGAAGCACUUAUGCUAGAACUAGUAAUGUGAAUACACCAUUCUCAUAAUAUGUAAGUGUAAAUCAGAUCGAAUAAAUCACUGAUAAUUAACGGCCUCUCUGAGAUCCCUGCAACAACAAAACAAGAAAACCAUGCACCUUUUACCGUUAAUCUAACACAAGAACAUUACAAGAAAGAUUAAAAGACGCAGAAGGAACUCGGCAAACUAUGAACCCCGCCUGUUUACCAAAAACAUCGCCUCUUGCUAAAAAACAUGUAUAAGAGGUCCAGCCUGCCCAGUGACUAUAAGUUCAACGGCCGCGGUAUUCUGACCGUGCAAAGGUAGCGUAAUCACUUGUCUUUUAAAUAAAGACUGGUAUGAAUGGCACCACGAAGGUUCAACUGUCUCCUGCAUCCAAUCCAUUAAACUGACCUCCCCGUGCAGAGGCGGGGAUACAACCAUAAGACGAGAAGACCCUAUGGAGCUUUAAACUAAAGGCAACUGCCAACUUCAACCUAAUCCGUAAGGAAAAACAAUAAAACAAGCAGAAAUUGACCUAAAGUUUUCGGUUGGGGCGACCACGGAGAAUAAAAAAUCCUCCUUGAAGAAUAGGGCCUACCACCCUUAACCAAGAAUCACUAUUCUAAGUAACAAAAUUUAUGACUACAAUUGAUCCAGUCUAACUGAUCAACGAACCAAGUUACCCUAGGGAUAACAGCGCAAUCCAUUUCAAAAGUUCCUAUCGACAAAUGGGUUUACGAC